rnacentral:rRNA from 1 species
AUGCGGGUGAUUGCAUAUGGCGUCCCGGCUGACUAUGCUGAUGAGUAUCUUCGCAUUGGUGAAGAUAGCACAAUUGAGUUUGUGCGUAGAUUUGCGAAAGUGAUUGUUCGUGUCUUUGGUCCCGAGUAUCUUCGGGCACCAAAUGAAGAUGGCACAAAGAAAUUGAUGGCAGCUAAUGAGAGGAGAGGUUGGCCUGGGAUGCUAGGUAGCAUUGAUUGUAUGCAUUGGAAUUGGAAAAAUUACCCCAAGGCUUGGCAAGGAAUGUAUUGUGGCAAGUCUCGUGAUGCAACAAUUGUGCUAGAGGCCGUAGCAUCCGAUGAUUUAUGA